CAUGGGACAAUCUUAUGAAGUUAGUUUAUUGGGUAGGAGUUAUGCUUGCAAUGCAUGGAAUUUGAUAGGUAUACCAUGUAUUCAUGCCAUUUCUGCAAUGUGGCAUAAAAAUGAUGAUGUUGAAGAUUAUGUUGCAGAGUUGUAUACCAAAGAUUCUCGGAGAUGAUCUAUGAGUUUGUUUUGUAACUUGUAAAUGGAGAGAAGUUUUGGCCUA
rnacentral:lncRNA from 1 species